AGUGUAGAUUCAGAGUUUGAUCUGGCUCAGGAUGAACGCUAGCGGCAGGCCUAAUACAUGCAAGUCGGACGGGAUUCCGUUAUAGCUUGCUAUAACGGAUGAGAGUGGCGCACGGGUGCGUAACGCGUGAGCAACCUGCCCAUGUCAGGGGGAUAGCCCGUUGAAAGACGGAUUAACACCGCAUAACACAUAACCACCGCAUGGUGUUUAUGUCAAAUAUUCAUAGGACAUGGAUGGGCUCGCGUGGCAUUAGCUAGUUGGUAAGGUAACGGCUUACCAAGGCGAUGAUGCCUAGGGGCUCUGAGAGGAGUGACCCCCACACUGGUACUGAGACACGGACCAG
rnacentral:rRNA from 1 species